AAGCUUAUGUUCAACUUCAGGAGCCUGACACAUGUUCCUACCCAGUGGAUUUUGCAAAGUUCACCUUUCCAGUUCUUCUAGGGGCAGGAGACCUCCUUCAACCCCACUGCAAGUUGACUGGCAUCCCUUCAAUACUCUCUUGACCCUACAGAUAACGCUCAUCAAUUCCUUUAUGUUUGCAGAGUCUCUAGCCAGAUGGAGGUAGUCACUACUGCUCAAUGAACAGUGAGAAGCUGACUGUUGCACAUGGGAUUUAUAAGAAAACAAAAGCUGAUUUUAAAUCGUCUUCUGGAACAGGUCAUUAAAUAGACCAGUUGACUUCCCUCAGUUAUAGUUCCACGUGAUCAAGUGAAAUUAAUAGAUAAGAUAUAUUCCUUAUUGUGUACUUAGUUGUUGCAAGUGGGACACUUGGUAAGUGUUUGUAUAAUAUUUACCUCAAUUUGCUGCCUUAUGGUACAAUAAAUGGAACCAAUAUGUUCCAAAACA